CUGCAGCUAGUGGGGGUAGGGCUGUCUGUGACAAGGCUCCAGCCUCUGGGAGCCAAUCUGCAGAACCCUAGGCCUGAGGCGGAGGAAGCCCAGCCAGGAAUUGCAGGAGACACUUGUGCAGGACUGGAUGCAGUGGGGCGGGUGCCUGAGAGGGGGCUCCUGCUCUGAGGCACAGCCUUCUAAAACGACUGUGGCCUGCACACUAUUAAAGCAAAGAACUUAGCCCAGCCAGUGUUCAGUGUGCAUUCUCAAAGCAACGGAGUCCAGCUCAAGUGCCUCCCCAGUCAAAUCUGCUGACGUUUUAUUGAGGAAGGGAAGGGACGCAGGACCAGGAAGUGGCACCAGUGUGGCAGGGGAGGCCAGGCAGCGGGCUCCUCAGCUACCCGAGGCUGGCCCCUCCCAAGGCUCUGGUUCUGGGAGAUCCUAGGGGGUGAGUCCUAUAACAGGCUCCCUCCAAGGACUGGAGUUCAGACCCUGGGCACCAAGAGCCAUCGAAGUGCAUGUUCCCAGCCCCACCCUGGGCAUUCCAAGGCCCAAGGCAGGCCUGAGGAUCAGCAUUUUUACAAAUACACAGCAGUGCUGCUACCUGUUCCCAGCUGACACUUGACAUCGGGUCAGGCAUUCAGGGAAUAGGGGCAGGAUGGGGAGGAAAGGAGCAGAGGUCUCCCUAGGGAAGGCAGUGUGGCACCCAUCAUUGCUGGGUGAGUCCCAAGAAGGGGACUCA
rnacentral:lncRNA from 1 species